UACGUAGGUGGCAAGCGUUAUCCGGAAUUAUUGGGCGUAAAGCGCGCGCAGGCGGUUUCUUAAGUCUGAUGUGAAAGCCCACGGCUCAACCGUGGAGGGUCAUUGGAAACUGGGGAACUUGAGUGCAGAAGAGAAAAGCGGAAUUCCACGUGUAGCGGUGAAAUGCGUAGAGAUGUGGAGGAACACCAGUGGCGAAGGCGGCCUUUUGGUCUGUAACUGACGCUGAGGCGCGAAAGCGUGGGGAGCAAACAGG
rnacentral:rRNA from 1 species